ACUCCUGCUGGAAGUUAUUUAUAGCUGUGGAUAGUCAUGGGAUGUGGCUCUCUAUGUAAGUUAUUUGCGGUUAUGAGAAAUGAUAGUAUUGUAUCUCCCACCAGACGUUUUUGUAGUUAUGGGAAGAAUAGGAAGAGAGUGUGAUUAAUUUGUCUAGAAAAUUGUUUCAAGGAGAGACUUUGGCCAUCAGAAGCAACUGGGGCGAGACUAUAAUCUCCAAUUUGAAGCGUUCCUAAUA
rnacentral:misc_RNA from 1 species